UACAGAGGGUGCGAGCGUUAAUCGGAAUUAUUGGGCGUAAAGGGUGCGUAGGCGGUUUGGUAAGUCUGAUGUGAAAUCUAUGGGCUCAACUCAUAGUCUGCAUCGGAAACUGCCGGGCUUGAGUGUGGGAGAGGUGAGUGGAAUUCCUGGUGUAGCGGUGAAAUGCGUAGAUAUCAGGAGGAACACCUGUGGCGAAAGCGGCUCACUGGACCAUAACUGACGCUGAUGCACGAAAGCUAGGGGAGCAAACAGG
rnacentral:rRNA from 1 species